AGUCAUAUGCUUGUCUCAAAGAUUAAGCCAUGCAUGUCUAAGUAUAAACAACUUUGUACUGUGAAACUGCGAAUGGCUCAUUAAAUCAGUUAUAGUUUAUUUGAUAGUCCUUUACUACUUGGAUAACCGUAGUAAUUCUAGAGCUAAUACAUGCAUCAACUCCCAACUGCUUGUCGGACGGGAUGUAUUUAUUAGAUAGAAACCAAUGCGGGGCAACCCGGUAUUGUGGUGAAUCAUGAUAACUUUGCGGAUCGCCGGCUUCGGCCAGCGACGAAUCAUUCAAGUUUCUGCCCUAUCAGCUUUGGAUGGUAGGGUAUUGGCCUACCAUGGCUCUAACGGG
rnacentral:rRNA from 1 species